ACAACAACUAAGUGCAGGUUUCCAGGAAGCUAACUGCGGCAGACAUGGAGGCCCUCUUCAGACCAGAACUAAGUCCAGCAGGAAGCAACAGAAGGCAGGAGGAAGGGAAAACGCUGAUUAUCUCUUUGACACUGAAGAAACACAGACUACAGUAUCUCUGGAAGAUGUUUGCCACAGGGCUGUCAUCAAUGCCACCUGCAGGGAUAACACCAGCACCAAGCAUUGAAUUCCUUAACAAUUCACCGUUCCCGAUGGCAAAUACAUGUGCCAAUAAGCUGAGGUUACCACAUCUGGACUCAUACUGUCUACUCAAAACAAACAUGGGUUUUGGUGUCCAUAAUUCCCCAGGAUUUGGGUGCAUGUAAAUGAAUGUGAUAUUGUAACUUAGAGGGUAUCUUCAGUUUUUUCAACCUGGACCAUGUUUUUGUUUCUAAGUGACUGGUGGUAACAACAAUCUUUGUAAAUGGUCUAGUGUUAAGCCAGACUGGUGCAGUCAGCAGUGGUAAAACAGGCUCCAAUGUAAUAUUAAUUAAAG